rfam:Bacteroides sp. CAG:462 genomic scaffold, scf260
GAGAGCCGUAUACAUGGAGACGUGUACGUACGGUUCGGAGGCAGGCUGUCGGAAACCUACCACCGUAAGGUGGCAUGGCGCCGACAGCCGAGCCUAC